rnacentral:rRNA from 1 species
AGGAAAUAGAUACCCCGGGUAGUCCGCACCGUAAACGAUGAUCACUUGGUGUUGGUGGUAUUGACCCCAUCAGUGCCGAAAGCUAAACGCGUUAAGUGCUCCGCCUGGGAAGUACGGUCGCAAGAUUAAAACUCAAAGAAAUUGACGGGGGCCCGCACAAGCGGUGGAGCAUGUGGUUCAAUUCGAUGCAACGCGAAAACCUUACCCGGGUUUGAAGUGCUAGUGAAUAAGGUAGAGAUAUCUUAGUCCUCGGUACGCUAGUAUCAGGUGCUGCAUGGCUGUCGUCAGCUCGUGUCGUGAGAUGUCGGGUUAAGUCCCAUAACGAGCGCAACCCUCGUGUUAGUUGUCCAGCAUUAAGUUAGGGUCGACUCUAAACAGACUGCCGACGUUAAGUCGGAGGAAGGUGGGAGUGACGUCAAGUCCUCAUGGCCGUUAUGUCCGGGGUCGUACACACGUGCUACAAUGGUCGGUAC